GACGAGCUACACGAACGUUAUUCGGAAUCACUGGGCUUAAAGGGCGCGUAGGCGGGCUGUCAAGUCUGGGGUGAAAUGCCGCGGCUCAACCGUGGAACUGCCUCAGAUACUGACGGCCUCGAGGAAGGUAGGGGCAUGCGGAACUGUAGGUGGAGCGGUGAAAUGCGUUGAUAUCUACAGGAACUCCGGUGGCGAAAGCGGCGUGCUGGACCUUUUCUGACGCUGAGGCGCGAAAGCUAGGGGAGCAAACGGG
rnacentral:rRNA from 1 species